rnacentral:rRNA from 1 species
UACGUAGGGGGCAAGCGUUGUCCGGAAUUAUUGGGCGUAAAGGGCGCGUAGGCGGUUAUUUAAGUCUGAUGUGAAAGUGCGGGGCUUAACUCCGUAAAGCAUUGGAAACUGGGUAACUUGAGGACAGGAGAGGAAAGUGGAAUUCCACGUGUAGCGGUGAAAUGCGUAGAUAUGUGGAGGAACACCAGUGGCGAAGGCGACUUUCUGGACUGUAACUGACGCUGAGGCGCGAAAGCGUGGGGAUCAAACAGGAUUAGAUACCAGGGUAGUCCCUGAGCGGG